UUAAUAUUAAUAUAUAUUAUGAUAUGUUAAAUUUUUUUAAUUUUAUAUUAUUAAAUUUUUUCAUACAUAUAUAUAUUAUUUUAUUGUUUUACAUUGUCGGCGUGCACUUCUCCCCUAGUAGGACAUCGCGACCCGUUAGAUGUUGGUUUACGACCAAAUUGGGUAGCCUUUAUAUGUUUAACGACAUUAAAGACCAAUUUGUGUUUUCUAACCAAGUAUCUGACGGUAAUCGUAUGGUAUUAAGUCGCAUUUUAAUAUAUUUUUGCGUUCUUUACCCGUCGCAAGCGAGGCCUUUUUUAUUAAUUUACAGACUUUGUGCUGUUUAAUAAAAAUUUGGCCAGCUGUUAGCUGUUUACGGUGUUCUAGAACUGACUUAUUUAUAAAAAUACCUGUCGGCGAUGCUAUUGCUUUGGGUACUUUCAGGACCCGUCUUGAAAC
rnacentral:rRNA from 1 species